UAGCUAACCGGUAGUCCACUAAAUUCAUUCAUUCAGCUUGAGAAUUUUCGGGUUAACUAAACUCAUUAAGGACACCAGAAGCACAAGCAGGAAAGGACGAAACGAAACUCCAGGGGACCUGGGACCUGAGACCAGGACCAACGAUGCUCAAUCGCACACAGCAAUCAGCCCAAAAAGGCGAGCGAAUUCUUUUUUUUUUGUAAUUUUUAUGACCCCAAAAGACGCAUCAAUUCCGAAGGGCAGAUCUCCGAACAAAGGACCCCAAAUACACACCCAAUAAGAGAGGGCAGCCAAAGCAAACUUAUUUAAAGAUGUAAGCGCAAUAAAAUAAAAUAAU
rnacentral:lncRNA from 1 species